CACGGAAACGUGAGCUAAAACCAGAUAGGCAUUUUCCACGCAUGAGGGAGAUGGAGAAAGGCGGAGCAAUCUGCCGCUUAUGGAUGGACCUGCGUCGCAUUAGCUAGUUGGAGUGGUAAAGGCACACCAAGGCGACGAUGCGUAGCCGACCUGAGAGGGUGAGCGGCCACACUGGGACUGAGACACGGCCCCAGACUCCUACGGGAGGCAGCAGUAGGGAAUCUUCCGCAAUGGACGAAAGUCUGACGGAGCAACGCCGCGUGAGUGAAGAAGGUUUUCGGAUCGUAAAGCUCUGUUGCCAGGGAAGAAGAGCAAGGAGAGGAACUGCUCCUUGAGUGACGGUACCUGAGAAGAAAGCACCGGCUAACUACGUG
rnacentral:rRNA from 1 species